rnacentral:rRNA from 1 species
UAUGUAGGGUGCGAGCGUUAAUCGGAAUUACUGGGCGUAAAGCGUGCGCAGGCGGUUCGUCGUGUCCGAUGUGAAAGCCCCGGGCUCAACCUGGGAAUGGCAUUGGAAACUGGCGGACUCGAGUGUGGCAGAGGGGGGUGGAAUUCCGCGUGUAGCAGUGAAAUGCGUAGAGAUGCGGAGGAACACCGAUGGCGAAGGCAGCCCCCUGGGCUAACACUGACGCUCAGGCACGAAAGCGUGGGGAGCAAACAGG